UACGACUACAUAUCAGGCAUAUCAAUAAGCGGAGGAAAAGAAACUAACUAGGAUUCCCUUAGUAACGGCGAGUGAAGCGGGAAGAGCUCAAAUUUGAAAUCUUCAAGGUUUUACCUUGACGAAUUGUAGUUUAAAGAAGUGUUUUCUGUUGGAGUUUUGGUAAAAGUUCUUUGGAAUAGGACAUCAUAGAGGGUGAGAAUCCCGUAUUUGGUCAUUCUUUCUAGCUUUGUGAUACACUUUCAACGAGUCGGAUUGUUUGGGAAUGCAGUCCAAAAUGGGUGGUAAAUUUCAUCUAAAGCUAAAUAUUGGCGAGAGACCGAUAGCGAACAAGUACCGUGAGGGAAAGAUGAAAAGAACUUUGAAAAGAGAGUUAAACAGUACGUGAAAUUGUCAAAAGGGAAGCGUUUGACACCAGUGUUGUUUAGUUGAAAAUCAAUUAAAUAAUUUUUGAUUUUAAGUAGUAUUUGACCUUAUCAGCUUGCUGCUUUCUUUUCGGAAAUUAUUUAAUGCACUUUUCAGUUAACAAGUCAACAUCAAUUUCUUUUGUUGUAAAAAGGGUAAGAGGAAGGUGGCUUACCUUUCGGUGCUCAAGUGUUUAUAGCCUUUUACCUCUGCAAUCGGAGAGAUUGAGGUCAUGCAGCGUAGACUCCUUUCGGGGUUAGAUACGAUUUGUGCUAAGCUAUAGCCUUGUAUAGACAACUUGUUGACUAUGCUCAGUCAUGUAGCUUACUCGCUGAUGCUAUUUUACCUACGCUUAGGAUGUUGAACGCGCACAGAGUCUC
rnacentral:rRNA from 1 species